UUCUAACCGUAAACUAUGCCAACUAGCGAUCCGUCGGUGUUAAAUAUUGACUCGACGGGCAGCUUCCGGGAAACCAAAGUUUUCAGGUUCCGGGGGAAGUAUGGUUGCAAAGCUUAAACUUAAAGGAAUUGACGGAAGGGCACCACCAGGAGUGGAGCCUGCGGCUUAAUUUGACUCAACACGGGGAAACUCACCCGGCCAGGACACAAUAAGGAUUGACAGAUUGAUAGCUCUUUCUUGAUUUUGUGGGUGGUGGUGCAUGGCCGUUCUUAGUUGGUGGAGCGAUUUGUCUGGUUAAUUCCGAUAACGAACGAGACUCUAGCCUAUUAAAUAGACGAUAUAUUUUUUUCGUAUAUCGAGCUUCUUAGAGGGACGAGCAGCUUCUAGCUGCACGAGAUUGAGCAAUAACAGGUCUGUGAUGCCCUUAGAUGUCCGGGGCUGCACGCGCGCUACAAUGAAAAUAGCAGCGCGCAUUGAAAACCUUUUCUGGAAAGAAUUGGUAAACGCAAAAUAUUUUCGUGAUUGGGAUAGGGGAUUGAAAUUAUUGCCCUUGAACGAGGAAUUCCCAGUAAGUUCGAGUCAUCAGCUCGAGUUG
rnacentral:rRNA from 1 species